UACGAAGGGUGCAAGCGUUAAUCGGAAUUACUGGGCGUAAAGGGAGCGUAGGCGGCUUUUUAAGUCGGAUGUGAAAUCCCCGGGCUUAACCUGGGAAUGGCAUCCGAUACUGGGGAGCUAGAGUUUGGGAGAGGGUGAUGGAAUUCCCGGUGUAGCGGUGAAAUGCGUAGAGAUCGGGAGGAACAUCAGUGGCGAAGGCGGUCACCUGGCCUAAAACUGACGCUGAAGCUCGAAAGCGUGGGGAGCAAACAGGAUUAGAUACCCUGGUAGUCCACGCCCUAAACGAUGAGAACUGGACGUUGGGAGGAAUUUGCCUCUUAGUGUCGAAGCUAACGCGUGAAGUUCUCCGCCUGGGGAGUACGCUCGCAAGAGUG
rnacentral:rRNA from 1 species